AGCGGAAGAGUUUAGGCGGAGCUCUGCAGAAGCAGGAGGCAUUCUGAGUCAGAUGAUUCUUUGAAAAUAGCUCAUUUGGGAAGUUACUAGCCUGAAGUCCUGGAGGGGAGGGCCUAACUGUGAACACUGAGAGCCACUGCCAUCUCACUAGCCACCUGCAAUCCUGGCACCGAGACCAAAAGGCAAUCUCAAUGAGAGCAGAGGCCUGCCUUCAGCUUUGCAGGCUUAGAAAAAUUAUCCAGCAUUUUCCUCACUUGCUUCCAAUUUCAGUCUUUCGGUCUGUCUUUGGGUUCAGGAAAUGAAACAAGGGACAUAAAGAUGGUGAAAAAGUGGGCUACCAAGAAAAGAACAGUAAUAGGGGAGGUUUGGGGUGAGAGCAAAAGGACUGUAGAUGUGUAAAUCAUUUUAACUUACUUGUAUUUUCUUCUGUUUUCUAUCAUCAGAUCACAGGUUUGCUGGGUCGUAGAGUCUGGACUGGUGUUGCUGGCUGGAACCACUGAAGCGCCUAGUCCCACAGACUCUUGAGUAGUGAAGCCAGUGUGGCCAGAGACCCCUGUUCUCCCCAAGUUACAGCUGUGGUGCUGUCCUGUGGGCUAGGUCCUUCCACCAGCUGAUUUUACCCCAGGGACCAAGUUCAUUGCCGUGUAUCAUGUAGCUUUGGGCUCACUGCCUGCCUUGGAUUUGCCCCUGACCUUUACCCCCGCAAACAAUGGCAUCCCAGAAAAUCCAGCUGCUGUUUUGAGCUCUCAAGACAUCUGACACUGAUCUUCAGGAGGUGACGGGAAAACAGAAGAGAUGCAGAGUGGUGUGAGGGGGUACAGAUGAAGGCGCUGACAUCUGAGGGCGAGGAUUUCCUAGCAUUGCUCCAUGUCUCUUGAGUCACCCGCCAAACACAGGAGAAGCGUGAGUAAGAAGUUUUAACUCUGAUUUGGCUUUCAUGUAAGCGUGAGAAGGUCACUCAGCUGUGGCUCAGCCUUAAGAACAUAGACAUUUUAAUCCAUAUAAAAUUCUUUAGCUUCCUACCUUUUUAAGGAUAAGGACCUCUUGUUAAAAUUUAACCCCUACCUGGCAGAUGUGCUAUAUGAUACCAGUCUCAAUGAUUUGGCAGGUCUCAGCUUACGAAGAAUUGUCAAGAGACACUGCAGACGUCCACCCGUCCCCAUUUUCACAGGGAUUUUGUGAGGAUAAAUAAAACAAGAGAGUAUAUAUAAAAAUAUUUUUCCCAUAAAAAGUUGCUAUGUGGAUAUUGCAGUUCUAUAAAAAAGUACUAUUGGAAAUUACAACAUAUCAGAAAAAUCAGUAA